rnacentral:sRNA from 1 species
AUUCUGCCCAUGCGGGGAAGGAUGAGAAGCUUUGACCAAGGUUCGACUCGAGCGCCAGCGAGAGAGCGUUGCCGCAGGCAACGACCAGAAGGGCGAAGCGCGCAGCGCUGAGUAAUCCUUCCCCCACCACCA